GCCGACAGCUUGCUGUUGGUGGAUGAGUGGCGAACGGGUGAGUAACACGUGAGUAACCUGCCCCUGAUUUCGGGAUAAGCCUGGGAAACUGGGUCUAAUACCGGAUACGACCUCCUGACGCAUGUUGGGUGGUGGAAAGUUUUUCGAUCGGGGAUGGGCUCGCGGCCUAUCAGCUUGUUGGUGGGGUAAUGGCCUACCAAGGCGACGACGGGUAGCCGGCCUGAGAGGGCGACCGGCCACACUGGGACUGAGACACGGCCCAGACUCCUACGGGAGGCAGCAGUGGGGAAUAUUGCACAAUGGGGGAAACCCUGAUGCAGCGACGCAGCGUGCGGGAUGACGGCCUUCGGGUUGUAAACCGCUUUCAGCAGGGAAGAAGCGAAAGUGACGGUACCUGCAGAAGAAGUACCGGCUAACUACGUGCCAGCAGCCGCGGUAAUACGUAGGGUACGAGCGUUGUCCGGAAUUAUUGGGCGUAAAGAGCUCGUAGGUGGUUGGUCACGUCUGCUGUGGAAACGCAACGCUUAACGUUGCGCGUGCAGUGGGUACGGGCUGACUAGAGUGCAGUAGGGGAGUCUGGAAUUCCUGGUGUAGCGGUGAAAUGCGCAGAUAUCAGGAGG
rnacentral:rRNA from 1 species